rnacentral:misc_RNA from 1 species
GAUGAAGAACGUAGCGAAAUGCGAUACGUAAUGUGAAUUGCAGAAUUCAGUGAAUCAUCGAGUCUUUGAACGCACAUUGCGCCCUCUGGUAUUCCGGAGGGCAUGCCUGUCCGAGCGUCAUUGCUGCCCUCAAGCACGGCUUGUGUGUUGGGCUCCGUCCCCCGAUCCCGGGGGACGGGCCCGAAAGGCAGCGGCGGCACCGCGUCCGGUCCUCGAGCGUAUGGGGCUUCGUCACCCGCUCUGUAGGCCCGGCCGGCGCCCGCCGGCGACCCCAAUCAAUCUUUCCAGGUUGACCUCGGAUCAGGUAGGGAUACCCGCUGAACUUAAGCAUAUCAAUAAGCGGAGGA